UCUCUCGCACAGCCUCACCUUCACAGUUUCCCUCAAAGUCAAAAGUUCUCAUUCGCGCGCCGAAGCUUCUGCUUCACGUUUUCGGUCUCUCUUCAGAAGCUCUUCACAGUCGCUAGCCAGAUUCAAAGCCUAAUUGUGAGAGGAUCCGUCUGAGUAGCAUACAUUUGUCUGUGAUUGUUUGUAUUUUUAUCAGGUUCCAGUUCGGAGGCCAAUAAAGAGCUACAAAUUCCAUGAGCUUGGAAUCUUCUGGAGGCCUUCAAUGCCCUUCUGCACAUAGUUCAUUGUGGCUUAUAGCAAUAAUUUAUAUCUUGCAGAAAAUAAGUCUACAUCUAAAACACCGUAAUUCAUAAUCCAUAGAUAUUGCCUUUGGAUAGCAGGGAAUGCAUCCACUUUAAUCAAUUCUUGAUGCUAAGAGAAGAGAUUGUUUCUAUAAUGCGGAUGUGGGCAAGAAAUCAGCUCAGGCUAUUGAGGAUGUUGUUUGGGCUAUAACUUCUGCAUUCUCACUUUUGACAGCAUUCAAGUUGCAUAUUGACUUGUCCAGUUGUACAUGAUUAAGGUAUGCAAGAUUGCUUAUCUAUUAUGACUUAUACAUCUUUAUGGAUAAAUUUUCAGCCUUUAUAUAGUGAACUGGAAUUAUUUUUGAACCUGAGCUACUAUUGGUUUUAUUUCUUUCUUUGCAUUUGUUCUAGAGGAGAUUUCCAUCCAUGAGCUUUGGA